rnacentral:rRNA from 1 species
GAUGAACGCUGGCGGCGUGCUUAACACAUGCAAGUCGAACGGACUUUACAUGAAGCCUAGCGAUUGUAAAGUUAGUGGCGGACGGGUGAGUAACGCGUGAAUAACCUGCCUUAUACUGGGGGACAACAGUUGGAAACGACUGCUAAUACCGCAUAAUGUUAUUUGGGGGCAUCCCUGGAUAACCAAAGCUUUAUGUGCUGAAAGAUGGUCUCGCGUCUGAUUAGCUAGAUGGCGGGGUAACGGCCCACCAUGGCGACGAUCAGUAGCCGGUCUGAGAGGAUGAACGGCCACAUUGGGACUGAGAUACGGCCCAGACUCCUACGGGAGGCAGCAGUGGGGAAUAUUGGGCAAUGGGGGAAACCCUGACCCAGCAACGCCGCGUGAAGGAAGAAGGCCUUCGGGUUGGUAAACUUCUUUUACCAGGACGAACGACAAUGACGGUACCUGG